AUCUGGCGAGCCAAAGUGANCUGUNCUGUGUGAGUCGUGAGUGAAUAGGCUCCUGUGGGGGUUUGUUAAACCNGUUCGUGUUUUCGUCNAAAGGUAAGGNAAUUNUGAUUGACCGGUUACCUUUGGAAGGAAUUCAAGCCAAUUCCGGGCUUAAACCUCCCGNUGGUGCCAAGCCAGCCCGCGGGNUUAAUUACCGGAGGAUGCAAAGCGGUGAUUCCGGAAAUGAUUGGGGCGUUAAAGCGUUCCCGUUAGGUGCCUGUUGUGUGUCUAUUGUUAAAGAGUUUGGGCUCAACCAAAUAAGGUGUCGGUAGAAACUACACAGCUAGAGUGCGUUCGGGCAGAGGGAUUCCUGGUGUAGCGGUGAAAUGCGUAGAGAUCAGGAGAGACACCGGUGAAGAAGCGGGGCUGCUAGCCGUCGACGAUAANCAGCCGAGGGUAUCAUGGUACUCCC
rnacentral:rRNA from 1 species